UACGGAGGGGGCUAGCGUUGUUCGGAAUUACUGGGCGUAAAGCGCACGUAGGCGGCUUUGUAAGUUAGAGGUGAAAGCCCGGAGCUCAACUCCGGAAUUGCCUUUAAGACUGCAUCGCUUGAAUCAUGGAGAGGUGAGUGGAAUUCCGAGUGUAGAGGUGAAAUUCGUAGAUAUUCGGAGGAACACCAGUGGCGAAGGCGGGCUCACUGGCUCGGGUACUGACGCUGAGGUGCGAAAAGCGUGGGGGAGCAAACAGG
rnacentral:rRNA from 1 species